rnacentral:rRNA from 1 species
AGCGAACGCUGGCGGCAGGCUUAACACAUGCAAGUCGAGCGGACCUUUCGGGGUCAGCGGCAGACGGGUGAGUAACGCGUGGGAACGUGCCUUCCGGUUCGGAAUAACCCUGGGAAACUAGGGCUAAUACCGGAUACGCCCUUAUGGGGAAAGGUUUACUGCCGGAAGAUCGGCCCGCGUCUGAUUAGCUAGUUGGUGGGGUAACGGCCUACCAAGGCGACGAUCAGUAGCUGGUCUGAGAGGAUGAUCAGCCACACUGGGACUGAGACACGGCCCAGACUCCUACGGGAGGCAGCAGUGGGGAAUAUUGGACAAUGGGCGCAAGCCUGAUCCAGCCAUGCCGCGUGAGUGAUGAAGGCCUUAGGGUUGUAAAGCUCUUUUAUCCGGGACGAUAAUGACGGUACCGGAGGAAUAAGCCCCGGCUAACUUCGUG